ACAUGCAAGUCGAACGGCAGCGGGAAGAAAGCUUGCUUUCUUUGCCGGCGAGUGGCGAACGGGUGAGUAAUGUAUCGGAACGUGCCCAGUAGCGGGGGAUAACUGGCCGAAAGGUCAGCUAAUACCGCAUACGCCCUACGGGGGAAAGGGGGGGAUUCUUCGGAACCUCUCACUAUUGGAGCGGCCGAUAUCGGAUUAGCUAGUUGGUGGGGUAAUGGCCUACCAAGGCGACGAUCCGUAGCUGGUUUGAGAGGACGACCAGCCACACUGGGACUGAGACACGGCCCAGACUCCUACGGGAGGCAGCAGUGGGGAAUUUUGGACAAUGGGGGAAACCCUGAUCCAGCCAUCCCGCGUGUGCGAUGAAGGCCUUCGGGUUGUAAAGCACUUUUGUCAGGGAAGAAAAGGUUCUGGCUAAUACCCGGAACUGAUGACGGUACCUGAAGAAUAAGCACCGGCUAACUACGUGCCAGCAGCCGCGGUAAUACGUAGGGUGCAAGCGUUAAUCGGAAUUACUGGGCGUAAAGCGUGCGCAGGCGGUUCGGAAAGAAGGAUGUGAAAUCCCAGGGCUCAACCUUGGAACUGCAUUCUUAACUACCGAACUAGAGUAUGUCAGAGGGGGGUAGAAUUCCGCGUGUAGCAGUGAAAUGCGUAGAUAUGCGGAGGAAUACCGAUGGCGAAGGCAGCCCCCUGGGAUAAUACUGACGCUCAUGCACGAAAGCGUGGGUAGCAAACAGGAUUAGAUACCCUGGUAGUCCACGCCCUAAACGAUGUCAACUAGCUGUUGGGCCCUUCGGGGCUUAGUAGCGUAGCUAACGCGUGAAGUUGACCGCCUGGGGAGUACGGUCGCAAGAUUAAAACUCAAAGGAAUUGACGGGGACCCGCACAAGCGGUGGAUGAUGUGGAUUAAUUCGAUGCAACGCGAAAAACCUUACCUACCCUUGACAUGUCUGGAAUCCUUUAGAGAUAGAGGAGUGCUCGCAAGAGAACCGGAACACAGGUGCUGCAUGGCUGUCGUCAGCUCGUGUCGUGAGA
rnacentral:rRNA from 1 species